rnacentral:piRNA from 1 species
UACCUAUGGGGGGGUGCAAGCUUU